ACAUGAAAUAAUAUGAUUUUGUGUUGUCGCGGGGGUUUUUAUGCAAUUGUUUGUGUUGUGGUCGCUGUUGGCAGCGUGUGCGGGCUGUGGGUGACCUCUGGACUGAUUGUCCAAGGCCCCAAGCCCUUGCAAAAAUCGGAAAGUGAUUUCCGAUGCGUUUGUCGGCAAAAUCCGCCGACGGAAUGCGUUUUUAGUUUGGAAUUAUUCCGACGGUGCCUAGUGAUGUUUUGUGUCGUCGCUGAGCCUGGUUAGCUGGUCACCCGCGUCGUUUCGUGGGUUCAAAAACGACGGGUGAGCGACGGUGGGUUCCGGUGUCAAAUUGGACACUUCCGAGAACCCGAAUCCGAACGAUUAUCCAAUGAUAAUUGUUUGGAGGCGAGAUCUUGUGUUUGCUGCCAGGACACACAAAUAAUGGUGUUUAGUGUUAGCGGGUGACUCGUAGCACGAGUUGGUGAAUUUCGGGAUAGUUCGUGGGUCUUGGUGAAGUCCCGGUGCGAUUUUCGGGAUCCCCGGCGAGUUACAGUAGUCGGUUUUGGGAAAUCGAUCUCCGUGGAAUUGUUUGUGGGGUUGUGGAUUCAGCGUUUAUUAUUUAUGGGUUAGACACUAACCUG
rnacentral:lncRNA from 1 species